ACGGGGUGCAGCAGGCGCGAAACCUUUACACUGCACGCCAGUGCGAUAAGGGGACCCCGAGUGAAAGGGCAUAUCGCCCUUUCUUUUCUGAACCGUAGGGAGGUUCAGGAACAAGAGCUGGGCAAGACCGGUGCCAGCCGCCGCGGUAAUACCGGCAGCUCAAGUGAUGACCGAUUUUAUUGGGCCUAAAGCGUCCGUAGCUGGCCAUGCAAGUCCGUCGGGAAAUCCACCCGCUUAACGGGUGGGCGUCCGGCGGAAACUGCACGGCUUGGGACAGGAAGGCUCGAGGGGUACGUUCGGGGUAGGAGUGAAAUCCCGUAAUCCUGAACGGACCACCGAUGGCGAAAGCACCUCGAGAGGACUGAUCCGACAGUGAGGGACGAAAGCUGGGGUCUCGAACCGGAUUAGAUACCCGGGUAGUCCCAGCUGUAAACGAUGUUCGCUAGGUGUGUCACUCACUACGAGUGAGUGAUGUGCCGCAGGGAAGCCGCUAAGCGAACCGCCUGGGAAGUACGUCUGCAAGGAUGAAACUUAAAGGAAUUGGCGGGGGAGCAC
rnacentral:rRNA from 1 species